CCCAACAACAUCUUAUCUGAGUCUUUGCUGUGGCUUAGAAGUCAGCAAACCAUCUCCUCUUGGAAUUAUAGAAUCAUUUAGGCUGGAAAAGUCCCCUAAAAUCAGAGUCCAGCCAUUGCCCCAGCACUUCCAAUGCCACCACUAAACUGUGUCCCCAAGUGCCACAUCAGUUUUCAAAUACAUUCAUGCCCUCUGCUGCCUCAAAAAAAAGUCACCAGGCAAGACUGCUCCAGCUCCACAUUCCCCUAAAACCCUUGCAGCUCUCAGUGAUCUCUCCAUAGACAUCUCCCACUUCUUCCUCCUUUAUCAUCC
rnacentral:lncRNA from 12 species